AAUGAUUGCUUAUCAACGUUUCGUCCAAACUCUUGCUGCUUACGAGAUUAUGGCUGUUUGAGCCUCGCUGUGGCAUGCAUGACAUAGGUGGUUGGUAUGUUGAAACAUUUGGCAGAGAUAAAAAAAGCUGCACAGUCGCAGCACAAAGGUAUCGGAAUGGCUCUGGUUCGAGCCAGCAAUUUGAGAAUUAAGCUCAUGUCAUGUUACCUUAUGGGAAGCCUCACAGUAUUCAAUUAUUAUAUGUAGAGAUGUAAAGUUGGCCAGGCCCAGCACGACAGAUUUACUUUCGCUGUCCGGGCUGAAACCCAGGCCCAGCCUAAGAAGAGGUGUUGGGCCUAGCACGGCACGUUAAGCUCGGUCAGCAGGCCGACGGGUCAUCAGUUCGUUUGACACGUCUAAUCAUACUGUCUCCAAACUUUGGAUAUUAAUCUGUUAAUGAGUUGUUUUGCAGUGCUUUAUGCAUCGGUACUCAGUGGGAUAGUUGGGACUUGGGGCCAGUUCUAAUAAUUCUUUGCUAUUGCAACCAACUUGCUCAAGAGAGACAAUACCUGUCGCUUAUUCUGACAGUGCAGAAACUUCAGAUUCAAGCCAUGUUGGAACAAUAAAUUUAUGAUUUGGAUGGUGUCGAAUUCACGUCCAGAUUCAGGUGACAUGUUUGUAACUCAUGACAAAGCGAAGUUUCAGUCACCAGUGAUUACUGCAGUAUGAUCAUCUUUUUUGCGCCAUAGUGGACAUUCAGAAGAUAAUUCUUGGAAUAUAUGGAUGAAAUGAUUGUUUUAUAUGCUGUUGAAGCAUUUAUGAAGAUCGACUUCCUAUAUAACUUAGCAUCCCCAAAAUCAUCACUUAUCUGCUUCUGCCUGUUUUGAGAGCAAAUUUAUGCUUGCUCCGCACCAUGUGUCCUUGAAGUUGUUCUGACGUGGAAUUGAAAAAAUGACCGCAUGGAACCCCAACUGCAUGUAUGUUAACAAAGAAAGUAAUUAGCAUUUUCUUUGGAUGCUCCUUUGGCAAAUUUUGUUAUCGGACGGUAGCUGAUGCAGGAGGAAACUGAUGGUACGUCCUCGAGUUACAUGAACAGUUCAUGUUUGCAGGUUCUAUGUGUUUUUUGUUGUGUCAGAAUAAGCUCAGCUGUUGCAUCUUUCUUGCCAUGUGAAGGGGUUAAUUAAUUUCCAUGAAAGUUAUAAAGUUGAAUUGUGGUAAGUGUUGAUGUUUCACUUUAAAUUUUUUCUUAUAUUAUCUGUCUUUGGCAUUUUCCUUGUGUUUCUGAUGUUCCAAAGAAUCUACACCUUUUGUUCAGAAUAAUUGAAUAAAACUUCAAGCUUUUAGCGUUGUCAGCACGUAACACUAAGGAGUUAUAUAAUUAUUCAUCCUUCUCCCCAUUACUUGACUAGAUCUUCCCAUUUGCAGUACUGCCCUCCUGCUAAUGCCUGAUGAUAUCUGUCUCUGCAGUAUACUGGUCUUCCAUAAGCAACUUCGGCUAGAUUGUCAUCAUCCUGCACAUUUGUGUGUGUAUGUGCUGAUGCAUCCAUGGUUCAAUGGGAAUGAGUCUGUCACUAAAUAAUUUGGUUCAGUGCUCAAGCGUAAGUUUUUCUCACUGUAAUGUUACAAAAUUGACAUAAUAUUUGCAUCUGUACCUUGUAAGAGCCCAAGAGUCUGUCACAAGCGAGCACCUGUGCGAGAGAAUGAGAGAGGUUGUGAACUUAUGGUUACAAAAUACAACUGAGGAGUUAUAUAAUUAUAUAUGUUUCUGCCUGUCCACUUUGUCAUUUCGUCUUCCUUACUUUAUUCAUUUUAUUACUAAUGCACCCAAAGCACUCAAUAAACAUGGCUAGUAGUCGGUAUAGCUUUUCUGAAAGUCUUAAUACUUUAUCAUACAUCUUGCUUCAUUUCUAGAGACCAACUCUUUUCUUGUUGGAUGUUUAAUCCCAGUUUGAUUAUGAUUACAAGUCGUAAUUUAGCUACAGUGAUCCAACUGGGGUGAUUACUGGAUCAAGUGUAUACAGGUAAGAACAACGUGUGUGCAACUUCCAUUCUUAUGAUCUGUAUUCCCUUUUGCAGGAACUCAAUGCUUUUCUCAUCAACUUUGAAUGAAUUCUCAGAAGUUGCAUUUUCUGCUAGUUACAUUAUUUUCCUCGUAAACUCGAUUACUUUUAUCAUUAUUUAAAGCACUAAUUUGGGCACUCAACCAUCCUUUAUGGGUUUUAGACAGCACUUCAACGUUUCUCUCGUUUGUCCCAUCUUUUCUUUAUGAACGUAACUUGUCUUCUCAUAAACCGAACCCAUUCACUAGUGCGCUCAACUCACUUUCGCGAAAUCCAUCAUGCUUCUCCUGGAUUGAACUCCAUUCUUUGUGAAAUUAUUCAUUCUCUCAUACAUAUCAUCUAUCCCCGUUUCAAAUGGAUUCAACUCUGUUUCUCACAAUUUCAACUCUUCUCAUGAACCUGUUUUCUUUUCCAUUGCAUUGAUUUUAUAUCAUGAACAUGACUCCCCCCCCCCCCUGCCGCUGCCCUGCGUGGGGGUUGAGUCGGUUGACAUAAACACCUGGUGAAGAGUUUCUCAGGUGGUUAUACAAAAAACGUUCUUCAGUUCUGCAUCCUCUAUAGGAUUUGGCUUGGGUGCCAUUGAUUAUUUAUGAGGUGGUCUUGCAAACAAUUUGGUGCACACAAUUUCUCCAGAAAGCAUAACUACACUUGUGAUUAAGUGGCUAUAAUGGAGAAGAAAAACAAGGAAAAGUACCAGAAAAAUUCUUAAGACGUGCAAUGACACAAGGAAUAGAGUGCCCGUUCCAGUGGCUAGCGCAAAUCGCAAAGGUUGCU